rnacentral:rRNA from 1 species
UUACUAGCUACAGAAUCAUCUCAGGCUCUGUCUGAUCUUUUCGUGAGCCAUGGUAACUGAAUGAAUCAUAUGGUGACUGCUGAUGAUAGCCCAUUCAAGUUUCUGACCUAUCAGCUUCUGACGGUAUGGUAUUGGCCUACCGUGGCAGUGACGGGUAACGGAGGAUUAGGGUUUGAUUCCGGAGAGGGAGCCCUAGAAAUGGCUACCACAUCUAUGGAAGGCAGCAGGCGCGCAAAUUACCCAAUCCUGACACAGUGAGGUAGUGACAAGAAAUAACAAUACAGGGCAUCCAUGUCUUGUAAUUGGAAUGGGUGGAACGUAAAUGCAUGCAUGAGUAUCAAUUGGAGGGCAAGUCUGGUGCCAGCAGCCGCGGUAAUUCCAGCUCCAAUAGCAUAUAUUAAAGUUGUUGCGGUUAAAAAGCUCGUAGUUGGACUUCUGCCAAGGACGACCGGUCUGCCCGCUGGGUGAGUAACUGGCUUGGCCUCGGCAUCUUCAUGGGGGAUGUGGCUGCACUUGGCUGUGUGGUGCUGUGCCCAUGACAUUUACUUUGAGGAAAUUAGGGUGUUUCAAGCAAGC